rnacentral:tRNA from 1 species
GAGGGUAUAGCUCAGUGGUAGAGUGCAUGCCUAGCAUGCACAAAGUCCUGGGUUCAAUUCCCAGUACCUCUC